GUAACCGCUAAGUCCACAACACAAUCUUCUUGACAAGGUCUCUUCCUCUUGCUCUUCUUCCUGCUUCCAUUUGGAAAAACCAUGAUGAUUAAGAAGAGAAAUAAAUGAAUAGAAAGUUAGAUGCAAUUUGUGGCAAGCUGCAUCAACCUUUUCUGGUUGGAUAUCUGGGGACAUAGUGGAGAUGUAGAAGCCAAGAAUAAAAGAGCCCAAUUUUUUCUGCUGGAAUAGACACCCAGGAAGACACUACUGCAGGAGAAGCAAUUCUGGAUCAAUGCUUGGGCUCCAUAUUGGGAGGCCAUUUACAGCUCACCUAUCUCAAUGAACACCUUCAGGAAUAAAGGAAUACAUAUGCAAGUGAUCAUAUCCAUGGAGCUCCAAACUUAGACUUCUGCAUGAUCACAGCAAUAUAAACAAAGACAAUGUCUAUAUGACUCUAAGAAGGAAAUCCGUUUGCAAUAAACUAAGGCUGCAUGUGUAAGAAGUCUCUACUGAAUAUUUAAAGUGCAUUAUGAAUAGAUUUUUAAUAAGAGCUUACUGCAUGUCCUCUGGCAUUCAGCAUAAGCACAGCCAAAAAAGCUUUGAACAAAGAUGUGUGCAGCUGAGAAAUGGAAGUCAUACAUAGUUUUCCAUCACAGAGUACCAGAGUAUCUGAAACAGCAAUUUAAAACAUGCUCCAAGAAGUUUUGAAUUUCCCUGUAAUUUCAGAUGGAACUUUACAAUAAAAUAAAAUGCUUCAUAAAAG
rnacentral:lncRNA from 1 species